rnacentral:rRNA from 1 species
GUCGAACGGUGAAGCCCCGCUUGCGGGGUGGAUCAGUGGCGAACGGGUGAGUAACACGUGAGCAACCUGCCCCUGACUCUGGGAUAAGCGCUGGAAACGGCGUCUAAUACUGGAUACGAGACGUGAUCGCAUGGUCAACGUUUGGAAAGAUUUUUCGGUUGGGGAUGGGCUCGCGGCCUAUCAGCUUGUUGGUGAGGUAAUGGCUCACCAAGGCGUCGACGGGUAGCCGGCCUGAGAGGGUGACCGGCCACACUGGGACUGAGACACGGCCCAGACUCCUACGGGAGGCAGCAGUGGGGAAUAUUGCACAAUGGGCGCAAGCCUGAUGCAGCAACGCCGCGUGAGGGAUGACGGCCUUCGGGUUGUAAACCUCUUUUAGCAGGGAAGAAGCGAGAGUGACGGUACCUGCAGAAAAAGCACCGGCUAACUACGUGCCAGCAGCCGCGGUAAUACGUAGGGUGCAAGCGUUAUCCGGAAUUAUUGGGCGUAAAGAGCUCGUAGGCGGUUUGUCGCGUCUGCUGUGAAAUCUGGGGGCUCAACCCCCAGCCUGCAGUGGGUACGGGCAGACUAGAGUGCGGUAGGGGAGAUUGGAAUUCCUGGUGUAGCGGUGGAAUGCGCAGAUAUCAGGAGGAACACCGAUGGCGAAGGCAGAUCUCUGGGCCGUAACUGACGCUGAGGAGCGAAAGGGUGGGGAGCAAACAGGCUUAGAUACCCUGGUAGUCCACCCCGUAAACGUUGGGAACUAGUUGUGGGGUCCAUUCCACGGAUUCCGUGACGCAGCUAACGCAUUAAGUUCCCCGCCUGGGGAGUACGGCCGCAAG